GCCUCUAUAGUUCAGUGGCAGAGCGUCUCUCUCUCGUAAACAGAAGAUCUGCGGUUCAGUGCUGCAUGGGGGCA
rfam:Necator americanus N_americanus-1.0_Cont488.15, whole genome shotgun sequence.